AGUCCGCGCAUCGGAAUGAGGAUAAUUUACACCCCUUCUCGAGGAUCCAUUGGAGGGCAAGCCUGGUGCCAGCAGCCGCGGUAAUUCCAGCUCCAAUAGCGUAUACUAAAGUUGUUGCAGUUAAAAAGCUCGUAGUCGAAUGAAGGUUUCUUGUAUAGCGCGGACGUCUAGGUGUAACUUAGAUUAGUUUGCGCACAAGAACCUCCCUUGUGUGUCUCAGAGGAGCAAAUAUUUAUUUAUUUUGAUCCAUUUGCGACACACACAUUACUGUGAACAAAAUAGAGUGUUCAUGGCAGGUCAAUUUAGGCUUGAAUACCUCAGCAUGGAAUAAUAGAAUAGGACUUCCGGUUCUAUUUUGUUGGUUUUUGGAGCCGAAGUAAUGAUUAAUAGGGAUAGUUGGGGGCACUCGUACUCCGUUGUCAGAGGUGAAAUUCUAGGAUUGACGGAAGACGAACAACUGCGAAAGCAUCUGCCAAGGAUGUUUUCAUUGAUCAAGAACGAAAGUUAGGGGAUCGAAGACGAUUAGAUACCGUCGUAGUCCUAACCAUAAACUAUGCCGACUGGGGAUUGGUAGAUGUACCAAACACGACUCUAUCAGCACCCUACGAGAAAUCAAAGUC
rnacentral:rRNA from 1 species